UCAGUACCGGUGGGGGAAAGUUGAAAAGAACUUUGGAUAGAGGAGAGUUCAAGAGUACGUGAAACCGUUCAGGGGUAAACCUGAGAAACCCAAAAGAUCGAAUGGGGAGAUUCAACGAGAACGCGAUCGAUUCCGCGACGGUGCGCGAUGGUAGGUAUCUCGGUACUUGCCACGCCAUCGUUGCGGUAAUUAUUGGUCGCGUCAGCGUGCACUUCUCCCCUAGUAGGACGUCGCGACCCGUUGGGUGACGGCCUACGGCCCGAAUGGUCGACUGUCGCUUGAGCGUUCACGCGUUUCUCGCAACAGACCUUUGGUUGCCCGGCCGUCUGCCCGGCGGUAUUGAUUACGAUUAUUACGGUAAUGUGCCGCAUUAUGUGCGUCCUGGCUCGUCGGCAGGCUGACCUCGCUCGGAUUUACGGACCUAGCGCCGUUGCCGGGUGCUUGGUUUGGCCGUUAGUCGACGAUGUCCUCGGACUGGCUCUUUAUAUAUUACCGGUCGGCGACGCUACUGCUUUGGGUACUUUCAGGACCCGUCUUGAAA
rnacentral:rRNA from 1 species